GACGAACGCUGGCGGCGUGCUUAACACAUGCAAGUCGAACGGAAAGGCCCCUUUGGGGGUACUCGAGUGGCGAACGGGUGAGUAACACGUGAGUAACCUGCCCUUGACUUCUUGAUAACUUCAGGAAACUGGGGCUAAUACCGGAUAGGAAUCCUUGCUGCAUGGUGGGGGUUGGAAAGCUUCGGCGGUUUUGGAUGGACUCGCGGCUUAUCAGCUUGUUGGUGGGGUAGUGGCUUACCAAGGCUUUGACGGGUAGCCGGCCUGAGAGGGCGACCGGCCACAUUGGGACUGAGAUACGGCCCAGACGCCUACGGGAGGCAGCAGUGGGGAAUAUUGAACAAUGGGCGGAAGCCUGAUGCAGCAACGCCGCGUGCGGGAUGACGGCCUUCGGGUUGUAAACCGCUUUCAGCAGGGGCGAAGCUUGUGGUGACGGUACCUGCAGAAGAAGCACCGGCUAACUACGUG
rnacentral:rRNA from 1 species